AAUGGUUGUAUCUAAAAACGGUUGAUAAAAGUCGACUUCAUAAGGACAAUUGAAUGGCCGCGGUAACACUGACCGUGAUAAUGUAGCGUAAUCAAUAGCCAAUUAAUUGUUGGCCAGUAUGAAUGGCGUCACGAAGGCCCCACUGUCUUAAGAGAAUUCCCAGUGAAAUUGAAUUCGUAGUGAAGAUGCUACGUCCAAUUUGUUAGACGAAAAGACCCCAUUGAGCUUUACUGGAGUCUUACAUUGCUCGGAUCAACUCUCGCCCCCCCCUUGGCGGGGGGGUCGAAUUUAAAUGGAUAGCUUAGAUUAUGUGGUGUCAUAACCGUCGAUCAAGUAGUCCUUACAGGAUUACCCCCCCGAAGGUUGACCUAUUUGGGUGAAUGAAACCCCACUCUUCUUUGUUAAAUGAGCUAACCCUUUUCUCCCUUAAAGGGGACAAUGUAAGUUGGACAGUUUGGUUGGGGCGACCGCCUUU
rnacentral:rRNA from 1 species